rnacentral:tRNA from 1 species
GGCCUCGGAGGCCAAAUUGCAAAUUUGGGUUUAAACUUAACUGUUUCCAGGCUUA